GACGAACGCUGGCGGCGUGCUUAACACAUGCAAGUCGAACGGAAAGGCCUGCUUUCCCUUGUGGAUUGCGGGUACUCGAGUGGCGAACGGGUGAGUAACACGUGAGUGAUCUGCCCCCAACUUGGGUAUAAGCCUGGGAAACUGGGUCUAAUUCCCGAUAGGACUGCAGGGUGGUGCCUGUGGUGGAAAACGAUUUUCUAGUGGUUGGGGAUGAGCUCGCGGCCUAUCAGCUUGUUGGUGGGGUAAUGGCCUACAAGGGGGCGACGGGUAGCCGGCCUGAGAGGGUGGACGGCCACAUUGGGACUGAGAUACGGCCCAGACUCUGACGGGAGGCAGCAGUGGGGAAUAUUGCACAAUGGGCGGAAGCCUGAUGCAGCGACGCCGCGUGGGGGAUGACGGCCUUCGGGUUGUAAACUCCUUUCGACCGCGAGGAAGCCACCUGGUUGGAAGGGUGGUGACGGUAGUGGUAGAAGAAGCACCGGCUAACUACGUG
rnacentral:rRNA from 1 species